GUGCCAGCAGCCGCGGUAAUACGGAGGGGGCUAGCGUUGUUCGGAAUUACUGGGCGUAAAGCGCACGUAGGCGGCUUUGUAAGUUAGAGGUGAAAGCCCGGAGCUCAACUCCGGAAUAGCCUUUAAGACUGCAUCGCUAGAACGUUGGAGAGGUAAGUGGAAUUCCGAGUGUAGAGGUGAAAUUCGUAGAUAUUCGGAAGAACACCAGUGGCGAAGGCGACUUACUGGACAACUGUUGACGCUGAGGUGCGAAAGCGUGGGGAGCAAACAGGAUUAGAAACCCCGGUAGUCC
rnacentral:rRNA from 1 species